UUUCCCCCUUGGACCUCAAAACUUUCAUAGAACCUUCUUCAUAGUGAACAAAUAUUACAGUGCACUGAUUCAAGGAUACAGAUGGAAAAAUGUCAAACUACUCAACCUGACGUCCCAAAAAUGGUCCCCAGAAGGGCUCCUCCGAAGCAGACACUCCGUAGCCUUAUUUAUGUGGAUUCUGACAAGAAGGUCGUGAGAAGCCAUUGCAAGAAUUUCAGGAAGCGCUAAAACCUAAAAGAAGUUAGGUGACACUUUGAAGGUCACAGAAAACAAGCCGGGAAUAUGUGAACUAAUCUAGGAUGUUAAAUAUCUUUUUUUUUUUUUUCUUGAACUUCACCUGAAACUCUGAAGGAAAUCCACCUCAAAUCAUAUUGGAUGCUUACCUGAGAUGGGUACACUAUUGUCCUCAUGCAUUCUGUAAGUCCUGGCCACACAAGCACUCUAAGAAAA
rnacentral:lncRNA from 1 species